CAUAUCUAGGAGAUAAUUUAUACACCACCUGCACAAUCAGAAGAGUGUGAAGAACAAUGAGUUUCAAACAGCAGUGCGUGGAACUCAAUGAUGGACACAUCAUGCCUGUACUGGGCUAUGGCACUGCUCAAAAUCCAGAGGUUCCUAAGAGUAAGAUUUUGGAGUCUACUAAAAUAGCAAUAGAUAUUGGGUUCCGCCAUAUUGAUUCUGCUUAUGUGUACCAAAAUGAAAAGGAGAUAGGACAGGCUAUUCGAAGAAAGAUUGCAGAUGGUGUUGUGAAGAGAGAAGACAUAUUCCUCACUACAAAGCUUUGGUCUACAUUCCAUCGACCAGAACUGGUCAAAGUUGGCUUAGAAAGAUCACUGAAAAACUUUCAACUAGAUUAUGUUGACCUCUAUCUUAUUCAUUACCCAAUGUCAAUUAAGCCAUCAGAGGAGAUAUAUACAAAAAAUGAAAAUGGAAAAAUUUUAUUUGAGACUGUAGAUCUCUGUGCUACCUGGGAGGCCAUGGAGAAGUGUAAGGAUGUAGGACUUGUCAAGUCCAUCGGGGUGUCCAACUUUAACCGCAGGCUGUUAGAGAUGAUCCUGAACAAGCCAGGGCUCAAGUACAAGCCUGUGUGCAACCAGGUAGAAUGUCAUCCUUAUCUGAACCAGAGCAAGCUAUUGGAUUUCUGCAAGUCAAAAGAUAUUGUUCUGGUUGCCUAUGGAGCCCUGGGAUCUCAGCGUCCUGAAACCUGGGUAGACCAGAAUGCCCCAUUUCUUUUGAAUGAUCCAGUUCUUUGUGCCAUGGCCAAAAAGCACAAUCGAAGUCCAGCACAGAUUGCCCUUUGCUACCAGGUGCAGCGUGGGGUCAUUGCCUUGGCUCAUAGUUAUGAAGAGAAUGAGAUGAAAGAGAACAUUCAGGUACUUGAAUUCCAGUUGCCUCCAGAGGAUAUGGAAGUCAUAGAUGGCCUGAACAGAAAUUUCAGAUAUUUUCCAGUGAAUUUAGACCCACAAUGGAUCUUUUGAACAUGAUCCUAACUGUAUGUUACAAACAGGAGCAAGUAAGGCAUCCAUAAGCAUUGUUUUAAAAUUACUUUAAUUAAAAUAUAAAAUUUUACAUAUAAAAUUAAAAUAUACAUCAUUCCACCCCUUCCCUCUCCUCCCUCUAGCUUCUCUCAUGUCCCUUCCCUCCAAUCACUCCCAUCCCCCUUCUUCCUUCCUCUCAAUUUGAUGGCCUCUUUUUCUUUAGUACUGUUGCAUACAUGUGUGUGUGUGUGUGUGUGUGUGUGUGUGUGUGUGUGUGUGUGUAAUCUGAUAAGUCUGUUAGUGUUGCUUAUGUGUAUACGAUUCUAGAGCUGACCCCUUUGUAUUGGAUAACCAAACAAGGGACUCAUCACCAGAAUAUAAUAAUUCUCCCUCUCUUUGAAAUCAAUAGCUGCCUAUAGGUUUUUGUCUAAAUUUAUUGCUUGUUGAAGGGGAAUCUCCAUUAUCCUUUUGCUUGUGGUGGGAAAUAUUACCCAUAAAGGAAAUAAGUGUUAUAGUGCUUGAAAGUGCAUUGAAAAAAACCACAAUUGUUUGGGCUCAAAAUUUGGUAGAUUUAUUACUAAAUUUUGUUAGCAUUCAGCAAAUGGUGGAUAAUGUAUGGGAAUAAUAUAUAUAUACAGAGAAAGCACCAAAUGGCUAGUAAAUAUUUUUACUUUAUAUAUUGUAUUGAUAUUAAUAUAAGGAGAUCUACAAACAUAUAUGGAAAGUUCCAUGGGCAUGGAAGACUUUUUAAAGGCAUUGUGUCACCAAUUUAAAUAUAAUGUACUGUGUGAAAUUCAGAAUGACAAAAAUAACUAGUGCAUAUUUAGCAGAAUUGAAAUUAGAACUCGUGAGUCAGGCAUUCUUAAUUUUUUGUGUUGAUAAUUAUCUAGACUUGUUGUUGUACUAAAGAUGCACAAUUAGCACCUGUUUUCUUUAGGUGACUUAAAUUGAAGAAGAUUCUGGGGUUUUCUCUGCUGUGUUUGAUUGUCAGAAGCACUGCUGUUGGACACCCCAAUUUUCCAUUUUCUGAUGAAUAUUAACAUGAUACCCUUUGUCAUGGCUUCUACCUGAAGCUCCUAAAUGAGGAUAAUGCUGCUGCUGAUGAUGAUUGAGGUGAUGCUAAUGAGACCCACCACUUCUGGUUGAUCCAUACUACUUAGAAACUCACAGGCAACUGGAACCACAUUCAACAUCCUGGAAGAAAGACACUAAAGUUUUAAUCACUUAUUGAAAUAAAUAUAAUGUUCCUUUCCCUGAA